rnacentral:lncRNA from 1 species
CCUGGGACUCGCGUGCGGGGAACCCGAGGGAUCCCCACUGUUGGCGGCCGGCGGGCGGGGGUGGGUUAACACGCGACAUUUCUAGUUUACUGCGCGGCCCGAGCGGAGUAAAAGCGGUGCCGAGGCGCCUUAUGCACAGAGUGCCAAUCCCCUUCUUAAAGGGACGGAGACUCCGGUUCAGCCCGCGUAUGCCAGAUCUUCGGAGGAAUCUUUAUGCUAAUAAGUGUAGUAUUAGCAAUACGGACGACGUCUGCGGCCGGGAUGGCCGGGGUAGGCGGCAGGGCCGGCCGGCACCAAUCCGAGAGCCAGGCUCGAGGUCGGAAUGUCUGCUUACCUUUUCACCUCUGAGGAAGUCGUGACUUUAACCCUGUUCGCUGCCAACCUAGCAGAGCGAGUUGUGGGAACGUUCAAAGCCUAAAAUUGUAGGAGCUGGCAAGGCUCCAUUUAAAACAGGCCCUCAUUUUACAGAUGGAGAAACUGAGCCCCAGGGGAAGGUCACCCAGGUGGGCCUGGAUGCCAGUUCCCUGGUCCUAUGGCACCAAAAUGAUGUCAUUUCCACUGGUUUCUACUUUGCACCUUAAGAUCGUCCUUUGAUUAUUAACCAGAAAUGAGGAAACUGAGGCCGAGGGAGGGGCACAGCUCGCUCAGUGAAGCUUUUCCUGGGAGGCGAUGUGCUCCUCGUUGAGACAGUAUCUAGAAAUGUUACCUAAUUAGGUACCUAGUCACCUAGAAAUGAGGCAACUGCCGCCAGGGGCUGGUGCUCCUUUGAAUUUGGCUAGGCAAGCCUCAGAAUAUGACUUACCCUAAGGUGCGAGAACUGAGACCUGAGAUUGAGGAAUUCUCUAAGAAUGCUGACUUACUAGGACCAUAGCUCAGAUCAUUAAUAAUCUCCUCUUGGUACCUGUUUAUUAUAGAUGGGCUUCGGGACAGCCUAUUUUUUCCUGUAUCCUGUAGGAAAAGUGAGACCUGUUAGAGCAAACAGCAAGGCCAGAGGCUCUUCGGCUGGGACACAGCCCUGGCGGCACUGGCGGUGGAGGUCAAACUCUGAGUCUGAACCUCUCCGACCAGGAGGGCCUGGGAGCUGUCGCCUCUUCCUCUGCCUGAGGCCGCGGUGGGGAAGUGGCGGAGCCAGGACUCCAACGUGGCUCUCACUCUGAAGCCUGUGCUUUGGCCACUCAGCCUCACACAGUGAUGCAGUGGAAUUGACUGCAAAUUGUCUCUUUAGGAUCAAGCUCUUUCCCUCUUUGGUCAGACAGGACUCUAUGAGCCAGUUAAAUUUUCCAAACCCGCUAUAUGACCCCCAAGUCACAGACACCAUCACCAUCUACAUAGUCCCUUCCUUACAUGAGAUCUACUUAUAUAACAUUUCACGGGGAAAUAAUCUAGGACAGAUGUGUGUGCGUGUUGAGCUGUGUCUGGGGGAUGGUGGGAGAACCCAGAAGUUGACCUGGGCUAAGUUGUUUAUUUUGGGUAUCUCUUAAAUAUCUCAAAUUACCCUUUAAAUCACUCCUCUGCUAUAUAAGCACUUAAUUAUCCCCCAAGUAAGAGAGGCCCAAAUAGAAAACCUGACAAGCAAGGACAUCCUCAUUGUAAGCCCCAGCUUUCAACCAACCACAAUCCUCUCUGGCUCCCUCCCUUCCCAGUUCUGCUUCCAGGCUCAGGAAGGAGGAGCAACCAGAUCCUGGCAAAAGCCUAGGCCACUGGGACAAGAAAGUCCUCUCCAGGAUCUGGAAAUUUGUUCCGUGCAUGUGGGUUGCACAUGGAAGAGUUAUCUCUGCCUUCUCCAAAGGUUUAGGAGGAGAAGUUCUAUUUCACAACUUAUUUUUUCCAUUUCACGUUCAGCAGGCCAUGGGGUCAGACCCACUUUUCCAUGUGAUGCCUCUGCUGGGGUAUAAUUUGAAAGCCAAAAUUAUUGUAAUGCUAUAGUAUUAUGCCAAGCACUUCCAGAGCACUUGUGUAUCUGCUCAACCCCUACACGCUCUGUGUAUAAUUAACCUCGCUCAGCAUCCCUGCAGUCUGGUCUUAUUCCCAGUUUACAGAUGGGGUAACUGGCCUAAGGUGGUAUUUACUUCAAGCAGGCGAAAAACACAUGGGUGUUUCCUUUGGGAACUGGUAGAGACACACCUUACAAGAGUCAGAGUCAGAAAUAAUCAUUCUGAAAAGAAACAGAAAAGUUUGCUAAGGACGAUGUUGGAGAAGCAGUGUAUAAAUGGUUUGAAGAGACAGGACUUAUAGGCAAAGGAUCAGAGUGCUAUGGAGGGUUAGAGCUGGACAGACUCUCUUUUCAGAGAGCCAGCCACCCAAUUUCACAGAGGGAAAACUGAGACCAGUGAAGGGAAGAGACCGAGACAAGAGGCACAGCUGCAAUUGGCAUGCAGUGUCUUGACAUCAUAAACCCAACACCAUGCCUAUCGUUCUUGGCAUUUUUUACUUUUAUGUCCCCAAUUUUCUUAUUGGAAGGGUUGGAUAUGGCCCUAUUUCUGUUUCUUCCCUGUCUCAACUUCUUACCUUAGCCCAAGGUGGGGACAUGGCAGCUCUUUUCUCUGCACCUCCUUCCAGUAUCUUCACGUAGGCUAUGCCAUGGGUAGAUGCCAGGGAAAAUGGUGCCACCAACCCAACAGACAGUCCAUCAAAUGUUCAUGGCAGUCCCUUGCUGCGUGCCAGUCCCCAGGGCAGGAGUCUGGGCUAGAAGCAUAGAUUUGGGAGUUAUUAGUGCUCAGUGAAGAUACGAAGCAGAAUCCUUAACAGCUUCUUUCUUUUUUUUAAGAUUGGCACCUGAGCUAACAUCUGUUGCCAAUCUUCCUUUUUUCUUUUUCCCCUUCCCAAAGCCCCCAGUACAUAGUUGUAUAUUCUAGUUGUAGGUCCUCUGGCUCUGCUAUGUGAGACGCCUCCUCAGCGUGGCCUGACGAGCGGUGUUAGGUCCACACCCAGGGUCCAAACCAGCAAAACCCCGGGCUGCCGAAGUGGAGCAUGCGAACUUAACCACUCGGCCACGGGGCCGGCCCCAACGUCUUGUUUCACUCCUACUCCAUCCAACCCAUCAGCAAGGACUACGCAGCGUCCUACUACUUCUCACCACCUCCACUGCUUCCACCCUGGUCCAGCACUCCUUCAUCUCUUGCCUGGAUCAUUUCAGGCUCUCUUAUUCAUUUCUCUGCUUCUGUCCCAACACCACAGCCAGUGAUCCUAUUAAAAAUGAAUCUGAUUGUGUCCCUCCUCUGCUCAAAUCCCCCAUUGAAUCCCUAUUUCUCUAAUAGUAAAUGCCAGAAUCCCUACAGUGGCCGGUAAGGCCUCACGUGACCUAGUCCACUUGAAUUCCUGACCUCGUCUUAGACUGUCCUCUCUGCUGCUCCAGCCAGCCUGCCUCUUCGCUGUUCCUUUUACAUUCUCUCUUGCCUAAGGGACUUUGCACUCCAUCUCUUCGCCUGGAAUUCUCUCCCUCAGCUGUCCCCAAGGCUCAUCCUUCACUCCCUUCAGAUCUUUAUUUCAAUGUCACGUGCUCUGUGAGGCCUCCUUGGGUACCAGAUCUAGAAUUGUUGUCCCCACUCAGCACUCACUAUCCUUCUUCUCUGCUUUAUUUUUCUGUAUCAUGUAUCCCCAUUUGAUGCACAGCAUAUUUUACUUAUUUUGCUUGUUUAGUCUUUGUCCUGCUCCAUGAUGGGAAAGAGAUCUUUGCUCUUUGUUCUCUGUACAUCUCCGGUGUCCAGAGCAGUGCCUGGCACCUUGGAGGCAUGCAAUAAAUACUUGUUGAAUGAACGAGUGAGCAUGAGUGGUUGAUCAUGGAGAGGAGAAUGGCAGAGGGCUGACGCUUGACACCUCCAUUGCCUCGGCUCUGGUGCUGGUGGCUAUGAGCUUCGGCCCGGAGGUGGGAGCAUGUCCGACUUGCUGUGUUUUUGAAGCAGAUGCAUUCUGGGCUUCUGUUCCCAGACUGUGUGUCUUAGGCAGAGGAAGCAGAUGAGAUUCAUGCCUGCCUUCCCAGCAUCCAGAGGGAGCUCCAGGACAGUCCCCGCCUCCAGGUUAGAUUACUUCCACGUCCCAGUUGCCCUGACAUGAAGCCUGUCCGAGGUGUCGCUGGGCCAGCUAUGUUGUGCUCUCCACCUCAGGUGAGUCCAAUGUAUGGCCAAGUUUGAAAACCACUCCACUAGAGCAGGUCACUGGACCAGAGCGUCAGCCUCACCUGAGAACUUGUUAGAAAUGCAAAUUCCCCUUCCAUCUCCAGACCUUCAGAAUCAGAAACCGGGGUUGCACCCAGCAAGCCCUGCAGGGGAUUCUGCUGUAACUAAAGUUGGAGAGCCCGUUGGGAAGUUCCUCUGAUACCAGCAGGGCUCUGUCUUUGGGGCCUGAUCCACAGGAAGUUUAGCCCUGAGCUAACUACUGCCAGUCCUCCUCUUUCUGCUGAGGAAGACUGGCCCUGAGCUAACAUCUGUGCCCACCUUCCUCUACUUUAUACGUGGGAUGCCUACCACAGCAUGGUGUGCCAAGUGGUGCCAUGUCCACACCUGGGAUCCCAACCGGCGAACCCUGGGCUGCUGAGAAGCGGAAUGUGCAAACUUUACCGUUGCGCCACCGGGCUGGCCCAGUCUGACAGUCUUGAAGACCACCAUUGGCACCUGGAGCUUUUUGGCAGUAGGACAAGUUAGGCCAGAAAGAGCUGGAAGUGGGCCAGACGGGUCUCAGGACACAAAAGUCUGGGUCAGGUGGUUUGAAGGCCCAGCAGAAUGGGCUGUGGAGCCCGUGGGCAAUCAGGAUUUGGAAAGUCUGGUGAAAGGAACCAGACCGGGGUUGGGGUUUCGGGGUGGUGUUAGGUCAGCCCAGGUCCCAAGGAGGCUGAGGGUGGUGAGAUUCAGGAACAUCUCCACUGCUGGUUAACAGAGUCAGUCACUGCUUCUGGGGGGAGCCAGGACCAGGGCCUGCCAGAGCUGAGGAGGCUGGAGCAGGUGGUGUGAGAGGCAGAGAAGGAAGGUUGUGUUUGUUUUGUUUUGCUUUAUUUUGUAUUAGGAAGGAGGUGAUCAAGAACAGAGCAGCAUUUUUUUGGAGCCAAGGAGGGCUUAAAUACAAUCCCCCUAGCACCAUCAGGUUUUCUUCCAUGGGGGCUCUCACAGUCACAAGGUGAUUGAUUUUGGGAUGCCAGGUGCCCAGGAUGUGUGACUUUCCUGUCCUUGAGAGACAUCUGCAGGGCAGGCGGCAGGAGCUGUGCAUUAUCUGUUUUUGUCCACCCCCAGUAUUCGCUCAGUGCCUGCCGAAUGCUAGGCCCUGAGUGACUGUGUGUGGAACUGAACCCAAUAGAGACCUGAUACA